UACGGGGGGGGUAAGCGUUGUUCGGAAUUACUGGGCGUAAAGGGCUCGUAGGCGGCCAACUAAGUCAGACGUGAAAUCCCUCAGCUUAACUGGGGAACUGCGUCUGAUACUGGAUGGCUUGGAUUUGGGAGAGGAAUGCGGAAUUCCAGGUGUAGCGGUGAAAUGCGUAGAUAUCUGGAGGAACACCGGUGGCGAAGGCGGCAUUCUGGACCAAUAUUGACGCUGAGACGCGAAAGCGUGGGGAGCGAACAGG
rnacentral:rRNA from 1 species